rnacentral:tRNA from 1 species
GCCCCAGUGGCGCAAUCGGUUAGCGCACUGUACUUCUAUUGCCGGGGUUGCGAGUUCGAGCCUCGCCUGGGGCA